CCUACGGGAGGCUGCAGUGGGGGAUAUUGCACAAUGGAGGAAACUCUGAUGCAGCGACGCCGCGUGGGUGACGAAGGCCUUCGGGUCGUAAAACCCUGUUGCAGGGGACGAAGGAAGUGACGGUACCCUGCCAGAAAGCCCCGGCUAACUACGUGCCAGCAGCCGCGGUAAAACGUAGGGGGCGAGCGUUGUCCGGAAUUACUGGGCGUAAAGGGCUCGUAGGCGGUAACUCAAGUCAGUUGUGAAAACCGACGGCUUAACCGGAGGAUUGCAGUUGAUACUGGGUUACUUGAGGCAAGGAGAGGAAGGUGGAAUUCCCGGUGUAGCGGUGAUAUGCGUAGAUAUCGGGAGGAACCCCAGUGGCGAAGGCGACUACCUGGACGAUAACUGACGCUGAGGCACGAAAGCUAGGGGAGCAAACAGGAUUAGAUACCCCGGUAGUCACUA
rnacentral:rRNA from 1 species